AUGAAAAUUACAUCCGACGAUUGGAUUUUAAAAAUAGUCCAGGAAGGACUCAAACUUGUGUUCAUAAAACACCCUCCAAAUACAGGAGUAAGAAUAACAAAUGUACAAGAUGUCGUCCAAAGACAAUGUAUUUUAGAAGAAAUAGAAAGUUUAUUAGAAAAGCAUGCCAUAGAGAUUGUUCCCAAGACCCAGGAAGGUCAGGGGUUUUACAGCACCUUUUUUGUUGUUCCAAAACGAGACGGAGGUUACCGUCCGAUUCUCAAUUUGAAACCGUUAAAUAUAUUUCUCCAAAAUCAACAUUUCAAGAUGGAGUCUCUAAGAAGACAGGAAAUACCUCAGGUUUUGCAUAGACAAUAUCCAUUAUCAAUUCAGGUCAAUGCCCUUCGGUCUAGCAACAGCCCCAAGAGUGUUUACGAAAUUAAUGGGGGCAAUAGGUGCACAUCUAAGAAGUCAACAGAUUUCCAUUUAUAUGUACCUGGACGAUUGGCUUCUCAAAAAUGCAGAUCGAAUGACAUUAGUUCAUCAACUAAGGAGAACUUUGUUUCUGCUGAUGGACUUGGGCCUGGUAAUAAAUCAAUCCAAGUCAAUUCUGCAGCCAACGCAACAGAUAACUUAUCUUGGUGCACUAUUCAACCUCCAACAGGGUAUGGUCUACCCAAGUUUGGACCGUUUUCUCAGUCUGUUUGGGGCAAUUUCUACCAUGGUUAUGGAAUCUUUUAUCCCAGCACGUACAUUCCUCAGAGUCCUUGGUUUAAUGGCAGCCUGUAUAGAUUUGGUACCUCUUGCCAGACUCAAGAUGCGUCCCAUUCAGUUCUGCCUUCUGUCCCAGUGGCGUCCACAUGUGGACGAACUGGAUCAUCUGAUUCAAAUGGACAGUUUCCUCAUCCCACAUCUUCUCUGGUGGAUAGAGAGAGGGAAUGUUCUGGCAGGAACGUCUAUUCUGAGCUUCAGAGCAGACCUAACCUUGUGGACGGAUGCAUCAACUUACGGGUGGGGAGCCCACCUAGAGGAUCGCAAUGUGUCGGGGAAAUGGACGGUGAUAGAACAGUCAUCACAUAUAAAUCUGUUGGAACUCAGUGCAGUGGAGAAUGCACUUCAUCACUUCAGGGACAAUGUCAAACACAGGCAAGUCUUGCUGAGGACAGACAAUUCAACAGUAGUGUCUUACAUCAAUCGCCAAGGGGGGACAAAGUCUGCAGCCCUAUGCGUGAUGACAUGGAGGAUUCUGCAUUGGUGUCACCUUCUCGGGAUACAGCUCAAAGCAGCUCACAUCCCAGGGAAAAAGAAUGUAAUAGCGGAUCAGUUGUCCAGAGGGCGACAAAUUCCCAAGAUGACAGAAUGGAGUCUCAACCAAGAAAUAGUUCAGCAGAUUUUUCGAGUUUUUCCCACUCCAAACAUAGAUUUAUUCGCAACAAGGGAAAACCGGAAACUAGCAGUGUUUUGUUCUCCGUUUCCAGACCCCUUGGCAUGGGAAUGCGAUGCGCUAGCUGUAGAUUGGACAGGAAUGUUUGCAUAUGCAUUUCCGCCUCCCAUAUUAAUUCCGAAAGUACUCAGGAAAGUGGAACAGGAGUCGUGUGUUCUUCUCCUCAUCGCUCCGUUUUCACCAAGACAGUCAUGGUUUCCAGACCUACUACAUCUAUUGGUCGACAUUCCAAGGGAACUUCCAAUAAUAAGAGACAUGUUGACUCAAAGAAGAGGGCAGUUCAUUCAUCCAAGUCCAGAAAGUCUGCAUCUGGCGGUUUGGAAAAUUUCAAACAACAAAGAACAGAGAAUAGAUUUUCUGAGAAAGCUAAGUCAUUUAUCUUCAACUCACGAAGACAGUCAACAAGAAAAAUGUAUGAUGCUAGAAUACGAAUCUACAAGGAAUGGUGUGCCAAGAACCAAAAGGAUUCAGUUGAGGCCACUGUAGCUGAUUUAGCAGACUUCUUCAUCUAUUUGCAUGAAGAACGUAAUUGUAAGCCAAAUACUUUAAUGGGUUAUAGGUCAGCGAUAGCAUCUAUGCAUAAGGGUUGGAGCAAUAGUUCUGUCAGUAACAACACUGAUCUGUCAAAGUUAAUAAAAGGAAUAUACAAUUCUGAACCUAAUGUACGACCAUUACUUCCAAAUUGGGAUUUGCCGACUGUUCUUUGGAAGUUGUGUGACUCCCCAUUUGAACCGAUGAAUUCAUGCGAUAUGAAGUACCUUACAUGGAAGACAGUGUUCCUUGUGGCUCUGGCAACAGCAUCAAGAGUAAGCGAAAUUCAAGCUCUUUCAAUUGGAGAGUCACAUUUACGUCUUGAGCAGAAUGGAAUACGUUUAUUACCAAAUAUACAGUUUUUAGCCAAAACUCAGAGAUUAGGAAAGCCAUGGAAACCAAUAUUCAUACCAGAGUUUAAUAGCUUUGCAACAGACAGUAGAGACUUGCUUUUGUGUCCUUGUAGAGCACUUAAAAUGUACCUAAAAAGGACAGAGUCUUCUCGUGGUGAUGAAAAGUGUUUAUUCUUGACUUACAAAUCGGACUUGAAAAAACCAGCAUCCAAGAAUUCAAUUUCAAGAUGGAUUGUGUCACUAGUAAAGUUUGUGUAUGAACAUAACAGUGAGACCUUAUCUCAUGUGCGUGCACAUGAUACAAGACGAUUGGCAACUUCAUGGGCCCUUUUCAAUGGUGCAACUCUAGAAGAAAUUCUACAGACAGCUCAUUGGGCAACAGAAAACACCUUUACUUCAUUCUAUAUGAGAGAUGUUCCUCAAGGAGAAGCUCGCUUUGCCAAGUCAUCAGUUCUUGAUACAUCGAGAUGGGCAAAAGAAAAAGAACAGAAAUAG
rnacentral:sRNA from 1 species